GAUGAACGCUGGCGGCGUGCCUAAUACAUGCAAGUCGAGCGAACAGACGAGGAGCUUGCUCCUCUGACGUUAGCGGCGGACGGGUGAGUAACACGUGGAUAACCUACCUAUAAGACUGGGAUAACUUCGGGAAACCGGAGCUAAUACCGGAUAAUAUAUUGAACCGCAUGAUUCAAUAGUGAAAGACGGUUUUGCUGUCACUUAUAGAUGGAUCCGCGCCGCAUUAGCUAGUUGGUAAGGUAACGGCUUACCAAGGCAACGAUGCGUAGCCGACCUGAGAGGGUGAUCGGCCACACUGGAACUGAGACACGGUCCAGACUCCUACGGGAGGCAGCAGUAGGGAAUCUUCCGCAAUGGGCGAAAGCCUGACGGAGCAACGCCGCGUGAGUGAUGAAGGUCUUCGGAUCGUAAAACUCUGUUAUUAGGGAAGAACAAAUGUGUAAGUAACUAUGCACGUCUUAACGGUACCUAAUCAGAAAGCCACGGCUAACUACGUG
rnacentral:rRNA from 1 species